rnacentral:tRNA from 1 species
GCGAAAGUGGCGGAACUGGUAGACGCGCUAGAUUCAGGUUCUAGUGGGCGCACGCCUGUGGGGGUUCGAGUCCCCCCUUUCGCA